GGAGGGAUCAUUGAAUUAUUAAAACCACAAUGUGAACCUCAACGUUCCGUGCCUUGGCUUGCCAGUGGGGCAUUCGGCCAAAACCCGUUUGUACUCACAGCUGAGUGGGCAUUGCGACCUGCUCAGUGGCGCCUUGGCAUGACUUUACACCAGUGCUAACCACUGUUAAAACCAAACUCUGAAGUAUUGGUUGCUGGUAACUGGCAAUCUUAACCAAAGACAACUCUCAACAACGGAUAUCUUGGCUCUCGCAACGAUGAAGAACGCAGCGAAAUGCGAUACGUAGUGUGAAUUGCAGAAUUCCGUGAACCAUCGAAUCUUUGAACGCAUAUUGCGCUCAAGCCCUCGGGCAAGAGCAUGUCUGCCUCAGCGUCGGUUUACACCCUCACCCCUCCCAACUUGUUGGGUGUGCUUGCUUUAUUGGCAAGCCGUUGGGGUGGAUCUGGCUUCCCCAAUCAGCCAUCAGGCAGAUUGGGUUGGCUGAAGUGCAGAGGCUUAAGCAAGGACCCGAUAUGGGCUUCAACUGGAUAGGUAGCACCGGCUUCUGCCGACUACACGAAGUUGUUGCUUGUGGCUCUUGCUAGAGGCCAAGCAGGAACGUGCCUUUGGCAUGUCUAAACUUUCGACCUGAGCUCAGGCAAGAUUACCCGCUGAACUUAAGCAUAUCAAUAAGCGGAGGAAAAGAAACUAACAAGGAUGCGCUUAGUAACGGCGAGCGAACCGCGCAAAGCCCAACUUGAAAAUCUCCCUCGGAGAAUUGUAGUCUAUAGAAGUACCCUCUGCAACGGGCUGAGCUAAAGUCUCCUGGAAAGGGGCGUCAGAGAGGGUGAGAACCCCGUAAGCUCACGCUUAGCUGCCUCACGAGGUGCUUUCAAAGAGUCGGGUUGCUUGGGAAUGCAGCCCAAAUUUGGUGGUAAAUCCCAUCUAAGGCUAAAUAUUGGCGAGAGACCGAUAGCGAACAAGUACCGUGAGGGAAAGAUGAAAAGAACUUUGAAAAGAGAGUUAAAAAGUGCUUGAAAUUGUUGAGGGGGAAGCGUUUGAAUGCUAGGGUGCGCCUAGGCUUAUGGGUCCUUAACGGGGCUCUGUAUGUGCUAGGUGCUGGCCAGCAUGGGUUAGGCCAGUGGGAUAAAAACUGGGGUUGUUACUCGGUCUAUGCCACUGGUUUGACCAAGGCGUUAAGACUGCCCUUGUCCUCCGGGAACUGCAGUCUCAAGAUGCUGGCAAAAGGCUUUCAACCGACCCGUCUUGAAACACGGACCAAGGAGUCUAACAUGUAUGCGAGUUGGUGGGUGGAAAACCCAUGAAGCGUAAGGAAACUGACUGGUGGGAUGGCCUGUGCCUGCACCAUCGACCGACCAUGCGUUUCUGCAAAAGGUUUGAGUGCGAGCAUACACGUUGGGACCCGAAAGAUGGUGAACUAUGCCUGAGCAGGGUGAAGCCAGGUGAAAACCUGGUGGAGGCUCGUAGAUGUGCUGACGUGCAAAUCGCUUUUCGGACUUGGGUAUAGGGGCGAAAGACUAAUCGAACCAUUUGCUAUAAGGUGGUUAAGAGUCGUAGUAAAAGCUGCGGCUAGUGGGCUUGAACUCUGUUCAGGUUUGCAAGACUGUCAAAUUGCCGGGACGUCCUGGUAAGCUGUUGGUACCGUCAGUUGUGGGAAACCACAGCCUGACACCUCAGGGAAACUUGGGGGUAUGGUAAAAAUCCAACAGAUAGGGACAAUCGGCAGCCAAGUCCUAAGGGCCAUGCCUACGGAUGCAGUUCACAGACUAGAUGGCAGUCGGCUGGUCAUAGACUGGCUUAAGAUAUAGUCGGCUCCCACAGAGAUGUGGCUGGUAAGAGGAUCCUUGCCUUAACCGACAGGGUGAGAGCUUAUCAGGGGUGAGGUAGUACUUGGCUCCUGUAAUGGGAUCAAGGGCAAUUGCGGCCUCUCACCCGAAGAAGUGCUAGUAGCUGGUUUCCUC
rnacentral:misc_RNA from 1 species